rnacentral:rRNA from 1 species
UACCAGACUCCUACGGGAGGCAGCAGUGGGGAAUAUUGCACAAUGGGGGAAACCCUGAUGCAGCGACGCCGCGUGAAGGAAGAAGUAUUUCGGUAUGUAAACUUCUAUCAGCAGGGAAGAAAAUGACGGUACCUGACUAAGAAGCCCCGGCUAACUACGUGCCAGCAGCCGCGGUAAUACGUAGGGGGCAAGCGUUAUCCGGAUUUACUGGGUGUAAAGGGAGCGUAGACGGCAUGGCAAGUCAGAUGUGAAAGCCCGGGGCUCAACCCCGGGACUGCAUUUGAAACUGUCAGGCUGGAGUGCAGGAGAGGUAAGUGGAAUUCCUAGUGUAGCGGUGAAAUGCGUAGAUAUUAGGAGGAACGCCAGUGGCGAAGGCGGCUUACUGGACUGUAACUGACGUUGAGGCUCGAAAGCGUGGGGAGCAAACAGGAGUAGAUACCCUCGUA